AUUGAACGCUGGCGGAAUGCUUUACACAUGCAAGUCGAGCGGCAGCGCGGGGCAACCUAGCGGCGAGCGGCGAACGGGUGAGUAAUACGUCGGAACAUACCCAGUUGUGGGGGAUAGCCCGGCGAAAGCCGGAUUAAUACCGCAUACGACCUGAGGGUGAAAGGGGGGGAUCGCAAGACCUCUCGCAAUUGGAGUGGCCGAUGGCGGAUUAGCUAGUUGGUGGGGUAAAGGCUCACCAAGGCGACGAUCCGUAGCGGGUCUGAGAGGACGACCCGCCACACUGGAACUGAGACACGGUCCAGACUCCUACGGGAGGCAGCAGUGGGGAAUUUUGGACAAUGGGGGCAACCCUGAUCCAGCCAUUCCGCGUGAGUGAAGAAGGCCUUCGGGUUGUAAAGCUCUUUCGGCAGGAACGAAACGGUGGGUCCUAAUACGAUCUGCUAAUGACGGUACCUGAAGGAGAAGCACCGGCUAACUACGUGCCAGCAGCCGCCGUAAUAC
rnacentral:rRNA from 1 species